GACGAACGCUGGCGGCGUGCCUAAUACAUGCAAGUAGAACGCUGAAGAAGAGGAGCUUGCUCUUCUUGGAUGAGUUGCGAACGGGUGAGUAACGCGUAGGUAACCUGCCUUGUAGCGGGGGAUAACUAUUGGAAACGAUAGCUAAUACCGCAUAACAAUGGAUGACACAUGUCAUUUAUUUGAAAGGGGCAAUUGCUCCACUACAAGAUGGACCUGCGUUGUAUUAGCUAGUAGGUGAGGUAACGGCUCACCUAGGCGACGAUACAUAGCCGACCUGAGAGGGUGAUCGGCCACACUGGGACUGAGACACGGCCCAGACUCCUACGGGAGGCAGCAGUAGGGAAUCUUCGGCAAUGGGGGCAACCCUGACCGAGCAACGCCGCGUGAGUGAAGAAGGUUUUCGGAUCGUAAAGCUCUGUUGUAAGUCAAGAACGAGUGUGAGAGUGGAAAGUUCACACUGUGACGGUAGCUUACCAGAAAGGGACGGCUAACUACGUGCCAGCAGCCGCGGUAAUACGUAGGUCCCGAGCGUUGUCCGGAUUUAUUGGGCGUAAAGCGAGCGCAGGCGGUUUGAUAAGUCUGAAGUUAAAGGCUGUGGCUCAACCAUAGUUCGCUUUGGAAACUGUCAAACUUGAGUGCAGAAGGGGAGAGUGGAAUUCCAUGUGUAGCGGUGAAAUGCGUAGAUAUAUGGAGGAACACCGGUGGCGAAAGCGGCUCUCUGGUCUGUAACUGACGCUGAGGCUCGAAAGCGUGGGGAGCGAACAGGAUUAGAUACCCUGGUAGUCCACGCCGUAAACGAUGAGUGCUAGGUGUUGGAUCCUUUCCGGGAUUCAGUGCCGCAGCUAACGCAUUAAGCACUCCGCCUGGGGAGUACGACCGCAAGGUUGAAACUCAAAGGAAUUGACGGGGGCCCGCACAAGCGGUGGAGCAUGUGGUUUAAUUCGAAGCAACGCGAAGAACCUUACCAGGUCUUGACAUCCCGAUGCUAUUUCUAGAGAUAGAAAGUUACUUCGGUACAUCGGUGACAGGUGGUGCAUGGUUGUCGUCAGCUCGUGUCGUGAGAUGUUGGGUUAAGUCCCGCAACGAGCGCAACCCCUAUUGUUAGUUGCCAUCAUUCAGUUGGGCACUCUAGCGAGACUGCCGGUAAUAAACCGGAGGAAGGUGGGGAUGACGUCAAAUCAUCAUGCCCCUUAUGACCUGGGCUACACACGUGCUACAAUGGUUGGUACAACGAGUUGCGAGUCGGUGACGGCAAGCUAAUCUCUUAAAGCCAAUCUCAGUUCGGAUUGUAGGCUGCAACUCGCCUACAUGAAGUCGGAAUCGCUAGUAAUCGCGGAUCAGCACGCCGCGGUGAAUACGUUCCCGGGCCU
rnacentral:rRNA from 1 species